GCAGUCGAACGGCAGCAUGAUCUAGCUUGCUAGAUUGAUGGCGAGUGGCGAACGGGUGAGUAAUACAUCGGAACGUGCCCUGUAGUGGGGGAUAACUAGUCGAAAGAUUAGCUAAUACCGCAUACGACCUGAGGGUGAAAGUGGGGGACCGCAAGGCCUCAUGCUAUAGGAGCGGCCGAUGUCUGAUUAGCUAGUUGGUGAGGUAAAGGCUCACCAAGGCGACGAUCAGUAGCUGGUCUGAGAGGACGAUCAGCCACACUGGGACUGAGACACGGCCCAGACUCCUACGGGAGGCAGCAGUGGGGAAUUUUGGACAAUGGGGGCAACCCUGAUCCAGCAAUGCCGCGUGUGUGAAGAAGGCCUUCGGGUUGUAAAGCACUUUUGUCCGGAAAGAAAUCGCACUUACUAAUAUUAGGUGUGGAUGACGGUACCGGAAGAAUAAGGACCGGCUAACUACGUGCCAGCAGCCGCGGUAAUACGUAGGGUCCAAGCGUUAAUCGGAAUUACUGGGCGUAAAGCGUGCGCAGGCGGUUGUGCAAGACCGAUGUGAAAUCCCCGGGCUUAACCUGGGAAUUGCAUUGGUGACUGCACGGCUAGAGUGUGUCAGAGGGGGGUAGAAUUCCACGUGUAGCAGUGAAAUGCGUAGAGAUGUGGAGGAAUACCGAUGGCGAAGGCAGCCCCCUGGGAUAACACUGACGCUCAUGCACGAAAGCGUGGGGAGCAAACAGGAUUAGAUACCCUGGUAGUCCACGCCCUAAACGAUGUCAACUAGUUGUUGGGGAUUCAUUUCCUUAGUAACGUAGCUAACGCGUGAAGUUGACCGCCUGGGGAGUACGGUCGCAAGAUUAAAACUCAAAGGAAUUGACGGGGACCCGCACAAGCGGUGGAUGAAUGUGGGAUUAAAUUCGAUGCAACGCCGAAAAACCUUACCUACCCUUGACAUGCCACUAACGAAGCAGAGAUGCAUUAGGUGCUCGAAAGAGAAAGUGGACACAGGUGCUGCAUGGCUGUCGUCAGCUCGUGUCGUGAGAUUGUUUGGGGUUAAGUCCCGCAACGAGCGCAACCCUUGUCUCUAGUUGCUACGAAAGGGCACUCUA
rnacentral:rRNA from 1 species